GAAGAAAACAUUUCUCAUUCUGUAUUGUUGAUAUUUCUGACCUUGACUCUAUAGAAAGAGAAGGCAUAUUCUUUAGUGGAGCUUCUCAGAAAUUUCACUCCCUUUUUGUCGUAGAGGCCAGCUUGAGUCGUGUGAUCUCAUCAAGUUAUCACCAAGGAGGUGAGAUUAUUCUGGUACCAUGCUCAGCUCUUGCAGAGGAAGAAGAAAGUGUAUUAGGGGAUGGGUGUUAGUUAGGCCACAGUACGGACAAGAGAGGUUUUACAGCAGAAGACACUUUUCUUUCUUACACACCAGCUUUCUCUUUAAGAUUUUAGACUUGUAUUCUGGGAAACACUCCAGAAUGAUACCGUGUUUUUUUUUUUUUUUUUAAUUGUUGCAAAAUGAAUGUCCCUGAAACUGUUUUGCCUGUUAGUCUCUUGAUGCAUUUCAGUCUUCAUUGUCUUCGGGAAUAAAAUCGUAGGUCUUUUAGCAGUCUUCCAGAAUGUUAGGAUGAGCUCCAAAACAGCCUUUCCUGCUCUGGUUUCCCCUUGUUUCCUUAUUAGAUGCUGCAGUCUGUAGAUAUUUAGUUGCUUUCCUGAUUCCUCUCUUGUGUUACACAGCCACCUUUGCUUUCAGUGACUUCUGAUUUCCAUUUCAAAAUGUUUCCCAUCUUGAGAGACUCAAGUGUGUUGUCUAGAGUAUUCUAUGGUACUGUUUGCUAGAAUUUGUUUUUCUUUGAGCACUUAAUACCUUUUCAUCUAUCUCAUGGUGAUUCUUUUUUUUUUAACUUUUAAAACAGAUAUAUUAGAUGUUUUUAAUCAAUUUUAUUUUAUGAGUAUGGGUGCUUUGCCUAUAUGUCUGUGUGUACCACUUGCAUACCUUGUGCCCGUGGAAGUCAGAAGAGGAUGUCAGAUGCAUUGGAGCUGGAGUCGCAGAUGUUGUAGGCUACCACAUGGGCUAGAAACUGAACUCAUGCUCGGCAAGAGCAGCAAGUGCUGUUAACCGCUGAGCUGUGUCUCCACCCCUGAUGAUGAUUCUGUAGCUCUGUACGACAUGCUUGUGUAAAUGUACUUUUUUAUUAACAUUUCCCAUUUUUUAAACAAUGGUAUCGAUAUUUAUGUUUUCCGUGCCACUAACAAUGGCUUUCACAUAUUAAAAAAUUAGAAGGUUUUUAUGUAUUUACUGCAUUCAUUUUGUUCUCUUAGGUCCCAGUGAUAUCACUGUACAAGACAGAAAAACUGAAAAUCUGCCAGACACUAAAUCCAUUAAACAGAAGGAAGGAUCCUUAGAGAUAGGUAAUGCAGUAUAUGUUAGUAUGUGUGCCUGAGUGCUAGUGCUUGUGUUUCUGGAUCAUUCUGACAAAAAUAAAAUGCUUUUCUAUUUUACUUAUGAAUAUCAUUUCAAUACUGCCUCCAUUCUCAGUUCAGCCAACUCUCUGCAGAAAAUAUUUUGAAAAAAAGUUAUCAUUUUUGACCAUGUAUAGAUUUCUUUUUUGUCAUUACUUUCCACAGAUAGCAUAGGAUAAUGAUUAUUGACUUAGCAGUUACUUUGUUUCUCGUGUUGAAAGCAAUCCAGUGACUGCUUAAAGUAUAGAAGCACCCAUGCACAUGCGUAUGCAAGUGUCAUGUAAAGUAGUUGGCAUCUGUGAGACGUCCAGGAACCACUUCCACCAUACACUGAGGGACGACUGUACCCCAAGGCUGCUGCUGCUGGAAGUCUUAGUUCUGAAUCAUGGAUACCUGAAGCUACUCUGGAAUAAUGAGAAACAAGGAUAGCAUCAAUAUGUAACAGUAAAAAGCCAAAUUAAAUCAAUUUAUAUAUUUUUGGCCCUAAUAUUAUGAUAAAAGAGAAGAACAUACAAAACAUAAACCAUUAUUAUUCAGCUGUCAAAUUUUACCUGUUAGAAAAUAAGAAUUUCCAUGUAAGAGGAAGGAGCAGAAGAGAGAGUUCUACUCACACUGUUUUCUGAAAAGUUUCCAUUAACUACUCACAUAUAGAAUGUAUAAAACCAGUGUUUACUAAGGAUAUAACUGCUAUGCAGUGAGGAAAGGAUAGGCUUUCCAACUGAGAGUAUAGAAAAACUGGAUAACCACAUUAAGAGAAUAAAGUUAAAUCAUUACAUAAAACUUACAUCAAGAAGAAUUAGAGAUAUAAACACAAGACCUGAAUUCCAAAAACUGGUAGAAGACAUAAAAGAAAAGCUUCAAGAAACUGUAUUUGGUAAUCACUUAUUUGCAUGACAGCAAAAGCGGUCAUGGACAAGUGAAACUGAAGCAAGGCUUCCCAAAGUAUUUGCUGAGAGUUAAACAUAGAAUUUAUAAGGAGCAUGUGUGCCUUGAAAACAAAAAACAAACCUGACUUAAAAGUGUACAAGGAGUUAAACAAAUAGUUCUCCAAAGAAAAUAGACAUAACUCAAGAAAAUAUGUAAUACACUCAACUAAUUGAAGAGAAAUGCAGUUCAAAACCACAAGGAACUAACAACUCACACUAUGUAAGAAAAGCUACCAAAAGAAUUGUUAGGAAAAAUAAGGAAUUCCUGCAUCACCGGCAAGAACGUUGUACAACCAAUUUAAGCUUAUCCCCGACUAGCUUAGAAAUAAAUGAGCCUCAGACUAUGGUUAUUUUAUUUGGCUUUGACAAUUACUGGGGGUCACCCCUAAUAUUUUCUAAUUGCUGGCCUGGCUCCUUCCCCAGUGAUGUAUCCCAAGUAUUUGCUGUUUCCUCUGGCCAUGUGCUCAUGGUAACCACUUCUCAUGGUGCCUUCUUGUCUGUCUCUUCAGGGUCUCUCUUCUCUUCCUCUCUUCUCCACCCCCACCUGGAAACUCAAAACCCACCUACCUCUAAUCCCUCUAGUAAUUUGCUGUAGCCCGUUUUAUUUAACCAAUAGUUUUAAAUUAAGGGACAAGGUUUGCACAGCAAAGGCUUGUAAACAUGAGAAUUCCUUCAUAGGCCUAACCCUUUGGGUACAGAAUUUAAGCAUUACAACACAUAGUUACAGACCAAACCUCAGCAAAAUGUAAAAUGGUAUAGUUUUUCUGGAGAACAAUUUAUUCUCUCUCUC
rnacentral:lncRNA from 1 species